AUUUGAUAUCGAGUAUAACCUUCUUUUUUGGAUGCAAACUCGGAAUCGGGCCUGAAUGUAAAAUCAACCUCAGCUGUGGGAGUUUUUUCCAAAAUCGCUGCUCCAGCAGAUGUUUUACUAAUAUUUUCAAGCUUCACUGGAUGAUCUUUAAUCCAAGAGCGCAAAACAUCCCAAACGAAGGACCAGGGAGCAUUUGUUUUAAUUGCAUUACUCUUGGCAUGAGAACCAGAAACCCGAUAUCCAGCGUUUAACAAAGCUGAAACAAAUAUAUUUUGAGGAGGAGAUUGGGAGCGCAAGACGCUACAAAUUUGGGAUAAAACAAAAUAAAAUGGAACAUCUGGUAGUUCUUCAUCAGCCAAAGCGAGCAUACCUAAGAUUCUUCGUUUAGUGCCAUAGACUUCAGGGUCUAAAUCUUCUGCAAUGGCGCGCAUUU